rnacentral:rRNA from 1 species
CCUACGGGAGGCAGCAGUGAGGAAUAUUGGUCAAUGGGCGGAAGCCUGAACCAGCCAAGUAGCGUGCGGGAUGAAGGCCCUACGGGUCGUAAACCGCUUUUGCACGGGGAUAACACCCUCCACUUGUGGAGGUCUGCAGGUACCGUGCGAAUAAGGGCCGGCUAAUUCCGUGCCAGCAGCCGCGGUAAUACGGAAGGCCCGAGCGUUAUCCGGAGUCAUUGGGCUUAAAGGGAGCGUAGGCGGGCGGUCAGGUCAGCGGUAAAAUCGCGCGGGUCAACCGCGCCCCGCACUUGAAACUGGGCGCCUUGAGUACACAACAGGCAGGCGGAAUUCUUGGUGUAGCGGUAAAAUGCAUAGAGAUCACGAGGAACCCCGAUUGCGAAGGCAGCCUGCCGGGGUGCGACUGACGCUGAGGCGCGAAGGUGUGGGUAUCAAACAGGAUUAGAUACCCGAGUAGUC